rnacentral:rRNA from 11 species
UGACCGAUAGUGAACCAGUACCGUGAGGGAAAGGUGAAAAGAACGCCGAGAAGGCGAGUGAAAUAGUACCUGAAACCGUGUGCUUACAAGCGGUCGGAGCUGCAUUUAUGCAGUGACGGCGUGCCUUUUGUAUAAUGAGCCUACGAGUUACUCCUGUUGUGCGAGGUUAAGCCCCUGAGGGGUGGAGCCGCAGCGAAAGCGAGUCUGAAUAGGGCGAUUGAGUUUGAUGGAUUAGACCCGAAACCCGGCGAUCUAGGCAUGACCAGAGUGAAGGUGCGGUAACACGCACUGGAGGCUCGAACCGAUUAACGUUGAAAAGUUACCGGAUGAGUUGUGUUUAGGGGUGAAAGGCCAAUCAAGCCGGGAAAUAGCUGGUUCUCCGCGAA